UACAGAGGUCUCAAGCGUUGUUCGGAUUCAUUGGGCGUAAAGGGUGCGUAGGUGGCGAGGUUAGUCAGGUGUGAAAUCUCGGGGCUCAACCCCGAAACUGCACUUGAUACUGCCUUGCUAGAGUACUGGAGAGGAGAUUGGAAUUUACGGUGUAGCAGUGAAAUGCGUAGAUAUCGUAAGGAAGACCAGUGGCGAAGGCGAAUCUCUGGACAGUUACUGACACUCAGACGCGAAGGCAUGGGUAGCGAACGGG
rnacentral:rRNA from 1 species